UACAGAGGGUGCAAGCGUUGUUCGGAAUUACUGGGCGUAAAGAGUGUGUAGGCGGUGCUCUAAGUUCGGUGUGAAAUCUCCCGGCUCAACUGGGAGGGUGCGCCGGAAACUGGAAUGCUUGAGCGUGGGAGAGGAAAGCGGAAUUCCUGGUGUAGCGGUGAAAUGCGUAGAUAUCAGGAGGAACACCUGCGGUGUAGACGGCUUUCUGGACCAUUGCUGACGCUGAGACACGAAAGCGUGGGUAGCAAACAGG
rnacentral:rRNA from 1 species